CGAUCCUGUCCGCGAGGACGGGAUUGAUGGGACAGAAGUCAGCAGAGGUCAUAGUACCUGCCUAGGAAUUCACUUCGGGUGUGGAG
rnacentral:ncRNA from 1 species